rnacentral:rRNA from 1 species
GCUCCUACCGAUUGAGCAAUCCGGUGAAUAUUUCGGACCGACUGGCUCGGGGCAACCUGCUGCUAGUUGGAAAGUCAAGUAAACCUUAUUGCUUAGAGGAAGGUGAAGUCGUAACAAGGUUUCC